rnacentral:rRNA from 1 species
AGUGAACGCUGGCGGUAUGCCUAACACAUGCAAGUCGAACGGCCGCACAGUAAGCUCUUUCUCUUACGGUUGGCGAGUGGCGGACGGGUGACGCAUACAUCGGCAUCUACUUUUUCGUGGGGGAUAACGUGGGGCAACUUACGCUAAUACCGCAUAUGAUCUACGGGUGAAAUCAAGGGAUCUUCGGACUUUGCCCGAUUGAAUGAGCCGAUGUCGGAUUAGCUAGUUGGCUGGGUAAAGGCCCACCAAGGCGACGAUCCGUAGCUGGUCUGAGAGGAUGAUCAGCCACACUGGAACUGAGACACGGUCCAGACUCCUACGGGAGGCAGCAGUGGGGAAUAUUGGGCAAUGGGCGCAAGCCUGACCCAGCAAUGCCGCGUGAGUGAUGAAGGUCUUCGGGUUGUAAAGCCCUGUUAUUGGGAAAGAAAAGCUGUAGAAGAAUACCCCGCUGUCCUGACGGUACCCAAAGAAUAAGCAACGGCUAACUUCGUG